rnacentral:rRNA from 1 species
CAACGAAUCUUCCGCAAUGCGCGAAAGCGUGACGGAGCAAUGCCGCGUGCAGGAUGAAGCCCCUCGGGGUGUAAACUGCUGUCAGAGUUCAGCAACACAAUGAGCAGACUCAAAGGAAGGGCCGGCUAACUUCGUGCCAGCAGCCGCGGUAAUACGAAGGGCCCGAGCGUUGCGCGGAAUCAUUGGGCUUAAAGCGUACGUAGGCGGGCACGUAAGCAUCUUGUGAAAUCCCUCGGCUCAACCGAGGAACUGCUUGGUGAACUGCGUGUCUUGAGGCAAGUAGGGGCUGUCGGAACGAUAGGUGGAGCGGUGAAAUGCGUUGAUAUCUAUCGGAACGCCGAAGGUGAAGACAGGCAGCUGGGCUUGUUCUGACGCUGAGGUACGAAAGCGUGGGGAGCGAACGGGAUUAGAUACCCCCGUAGUCC